AGAGAUUGAAGCUGGGAUGGUGCAGAAACGGUAUGUUGCGAAGGUCAUUGGGAUAUUUCCAGAGGAUGAGCAAGUUGUUGAUGUUAACAUAAAUUAUAAUGCUCGAGAAGGAAGGAGCACAGUAGAGGUUGGUGAUUCUUGCGGUGAAUCUCCCACCAGAGGGAAGCCUGCAUGUACCAAGUUUACUAGGAUCAGCACCAAUGGAACUCACAGCAUUGUUUUGUGUAAACCUAUCACUGGCCGAACUCAUCAAAUACGUGCGCAUUUGCAGUAUACAGGCCAUCCCAUAGCCAACGACUUUCUUUACCUCUCCAAAAAUGCCACCAAUCGAUCUGCUGAAGGAAUGAGUGCUGAUAGAGCUGCACGUAGUUCAAGCUUUUGUCUAACAUCCCCUGAUUGUUGUU
rnacentral:misc_RNA from 1 species